rnacentral:rRNA from 1 species
GACGAACCGUGCGAGCGUUGUUCGGAAUCACUGGGCUUAAAGGGCGCGUAGGCGGGCUCACAAGUCAGGGGUGAAAUCCCACGGCUCAACCGUGGAAGUGCCUUUGAUACUGUGGGUCUUGAGGGAGGUAGGGGCGUGCGGAACUUCCGGUGGAGCGGUGAAAUGCGCAGAUAUCAGGAGGAACACCGAUGGCGAAGGCAGGUCUCUGGGCCAUAACUGACGCUGAGAAGCGAAAGCAUGGGGAGCGAACAGG